rnacentral:misc_RNA from 1 species
UUCAUUUAUUUGCUUGUACCACUCAGAGAGAAUACCGCUGGCAAAACAAGAGUUUCGGGCCCUCGGCGGGCGCCUGGGUCCGGCGCGCUGGGGCGCCGGGGCGAUCCCGCCGAAGCAACAAAUGGUAGCGUUCACAAAGGGUUUGGGAGUUGUAACACUCAGUAAUGAUCCCUCCGCUGGUUCACCAACGGAGA